UGUUAAAAAAUUUAUUCAUUUCCAUUGUUAAAAUUUGACGGGUUGAUAGAAUAACUAAAUAGUUACACAUAGUAUGCUAUGUGCAUCUCACGCUGACAUACAUGAAUCGAUUUUUAAUAGUAAAAAUGAAUGAAGUUUUUAACA
rfam:Gossypium raimondii Chr10_contig_22, whole genome shotgun sequence.